rnacentral:rRNA from 1 species
UACAGAGGGUGCGAGCGUUAAUCGGAAUUACUGGGCGUAAAGCGCGCGUAGGCGGCUUUGCAAGUCGGGUGUGAAAUCCCCAGGCUUAACCUGGGAACUGCAUUCGAGACUGCAUUGCUAGAGUAUGGGAGAGGGAAGUGGAAUUUCCGGUGUAGCGGUGAAAUGCGUAGAUAUCGGAAGGAACACCUGCGGCGAAGGCGGGUUGCUGGGCUGACACUGACGCUGAAGCGCGAAAGCUAGGGGAGCAAACAGG